rnacentral:lncRNA from 1 species
UGGAGAAUCACCAGGAAGUUGAAUAAAUCUCAUAGGAGUUGGGAUGAAGAAGUUAUCCCACUUUCAAAUCAGGUGAUUCCAGUUUCCCAGUUUGGGAAUAGCACAGCUUCUUCGUUGUUCCAAUCAAACCAGGAUGAAUCACUUUGUGAGAAGCUUGAUUUGGAUACAUAAAGUGGUGGAGAAUCACCAGGAAGUUGAAUAAAUCUCAUAGGAGUUAGGAUGAAGAAGUUAUCCCACUUUCAAAUCAG